CCUACGGGAGGCAGCAGUGAGGAAUAUUGGUCAAUGGCCGUAAGGCUGAACCAGCCAAGUAGCGUGAGGGAAGACUGCCCUAUGGGUUGUAAACCUCUUUUGUCGGGGAGCAAAAGACGCCACGUGUGGCGGUCAGAGAGUACCCGAAGAAAAAGCAUCGGCUAACUCCGUGCCAGCAGCCGCGGUAAUACUGAGGAUGCGAGCGUUAUCCGGAUUUAUUGGGUUUAAAGGGUGCGCAGGCGGAAGAUUAAGUCAGCGGUAAAAUUGAGAGGCUCAACCACUUCGAGCCGUUGAAACUGGGUUUCUUGAGUGAGCGAGAAGUAUGCGGAAUGCGUGGUGUAGCGGUGCAAUGCAUAGAUAUCACGCAGAACUCCGAUUGCGAAGGCAGCAUACCGGCGCUCAACUGACGCUCAUGCACGAAAGUGUGGGUAUCGAACAGGAUUAGAUACCCUGGUAGUC
rnacentral:rRNA from 1 species